GUGCCAGCAGCUGCGGUAAUACGAAGGGGGCUAGCGUUGUUCGGAAUUACUGGGCGUAAAGCGCACGUAGGCGGAUAUUUAAGUCAGGGGUGAAAUCCCGGGGCUCAACCCCGGAACUGCCUUUGAUACUGGAUAUCUCGAGUCCGGAAGAGGUGAGUGGAAUUGCGAGUGUAGAGGUGAAAUUCGUAGAUAUUCGCAGGAACACCAGUGGCGAAGGCGGCUCACUGGUCCGGUACUGACGCUGAGGUGCGAAAGCGUGGGAGCAAACAGGAUUAGAUACCCUGGUAGUCCACGCCGUAAACGAUGAUAGCUAGCCGUCGGGUUGCAUGCAAUUCGGUGGCGCAGUUAACGCAUUAAGCUAUCCGCCUGGGGAGUACGGUCGCAAGAUUAAAACUCAAAGGAAUUCGGACGGGGCCCGCGAACAAGCGGUGGAGCA
rnacentral:rRNA from 1 species